rnacentral:sRNA from 1 species
UACAGUGUCACAAAGCUAUAAAUCACGUUGUGCUUGCACAUAAGUGAUUUUAUGCUUUAGUGACACGCCCCGAUAUUGGAGCAUAAUGCGAAUAUUGGGAAGGAUUGCGAGAGUGCAAAGCACGAAGCAAUCCGUGU